rnacentral:misc_RNA from 1 species
GUCGAUAGAGCCUAAUUGAUGGUAGCGAUAACAAUCUGGAAAAUAAAAAUUUGCAAUAAAAAGCAAAGCAAUGUCCAAUUAAAAAUUUAAUGACGUCAAGCGCAAUACUUAGUUUAACCAAGGCAAUUUAUGUGAAUAUUAUCAAAUACGUAAUUAGCGUUCGACUCUUCGAGGAACAAACGACUAAUAAAUUUAUCCAUAAAUUUAUUUAUCCUAAGAAGAUAACACAAAUAACCGUAAAUUUCAUGGACAAUUUUGAAUAAUACUAUAGGCAAUUUUACUCUGUAAUACCAUUACUGUCACUUACUUUUUAAUUUAUGAAGUUGAUCAACAUCGCUUGUCAAGCGAUUCAUUAUUAUAAACAUCUCUAAUGGUAAAUUCCGAGGAAAAUUUCAGCAGAUAAUUAUUACUUUCAAU